GCCAGAUGAUGUUGAUUUGGAUGAACGUACGUUAUGAUUACGCCUUAUCCACUACCCAUGACUGAUGGCU